rnacentral:lncRNA from 1 species
CGGAUCUGAGUGUUGGUGGCCAUCGGCCACAGCCAGGUCCUGACUGUCCAGGCAGCCCAGGGUCCUCUCUGGCCACAGCCUCUCAUAGAAAGCCCCGAGUGAGAGGCAGCAGACGGGGGCGGCCCACUCCGUUUCUCUCCCUGUCCUCAGCUAACACCUCCCCCCGGCCCGUCUCCGGCAUGGAGAGAGAGCGGAAAGUGAGUAUGCGGCUGCACCGCGGGGCCCCCGUCAACAUCUCCUCGUCCGACCUCACAGGCCGACAAGAUACCUCUCGCAUGUCCACCUCACAGAUUCCUGGUCGGGUGGCUUCCAGUGGUCUUCAGUCUGUCGUGCACCGAUGAGAACUCUCCUUAUUGCUGUGAAGGGCAGACAAUGCAUGGCUGAUCUACUCUGUUACCAAUGGCUUUACUAGUGACACGUCCCCCGGUCUAGGAUCGAAAUGUUAACACCGGGAGCUCUCCAGGCCACUCACCCAGCGACGCUCGUGGGGGAAACAUACUAAACGGACAGACUCCAAGAGCUGCCACCGCUGGGGCUGCACUGCGGCCCCCCACGUGAACUCGGUUGUAACGGGGCUGGGAAGAAAAGCAGAGAGAGAAUUGCAGAGAAUCAGACUCCUUUUCCAGGGCCU